rnacentral:piRNA from 1 species
GAAUGUAGGGCCAACCCUUGGUGG